AGAAUGGGCUUCAGAAUAUAAUGGUUUGCUGUAUGAUAUUGACUCAGUUUCUUGACCUCUCUGAGCCUGAGGUUUUUCAUCUGCAAAGUGGAGUAAAGCAAAAAUCCUAAAUUCAUAGUGCCCAGCACCACUCCUAGAGCUUAAUUUGCCUUCAGAAAUGUUUACUUACCCUUCAUUCCAUUGCCAGGCACCCCGCCCCCGCCACCACCUCCCUUUUCUUGAAAUUUUCAGGAUGCUUCUGGCCCUAGGUUCCCUAUCCUCACCCCUGUGGCCCUAGUCCCGGGCAGCCUCGGGUUACUUGGGGUUUUCUCGGUGGCUAGAGGCUCUCUACCCCCGCCCUUUCGCAGCAGGGCUGAGGCACGCGCUUGCGCGGGGUCCGGGAAACCGGCGCGUGCCAGGAGACAGAGGCUGGGGAAGGGGGGAGGUGAGAGGAGAGAGGGUGGAAAGGAGAAGAGAGAGCGGAGGACCAGGAACGACAGCGAGAGAGAGAGAGAGAGAGAGAGAGAGAGAGAGAGAGAGAGAAGAGAAGAGAGAAGAGAGAGAGAGCGCUUGGGGGCGAAAGGAAAGAGGGAGGGAGGGGUCGGUAAGGAGGAGAGAGCCGUCUGCUGCAAACCCCAGGAGAAGAGCUUGGAGCCCAAGCCAGAACUCGAGCCAUAGCCGGAGCCGUUCACAGGGAGGCGGCUGCCGGGACCGUCAGCCCUGCAUGAUGCGUCUCCGGCUCUUCUGCAUCCUGCUCGCCGCGGUCUCAGAAGCCGAGGGCUGGGGCUACUACGGCUGCGACGAGGAGCUGGUGGGUCCCCUCUAUGCACGCUCCCUGGGCGCCUCCUCCUACUACAGUCUCCUUACGGCCCCGCGAUUCGCCAGGCUGCACGGCAUAAGCGGGUGGUCACCACGGAUUGGGGAUCCGAAUCCCUGGCUCCAGAUAGACUUAAUGAAGAAGCACCGGAUCCGGGCCGUGGCGACACAAGGCUCCUUUAAUUCUUGGGACUGGGUCACACGUUACAUGCUGCUCUAUGGCGACCGAGUGGACAGCUGGACACCGUUCUACCAGCGAGGGCACAACUCGACCUUCUUUGGUAACGUGAACGAGUCUGCGUUGGUGCGCCAUGACCUGCACUACCACUUCACCGCGCGCUACAUCCGCAUCGUGCCCCUGGCCUGGAACCCACGCGGCAAGAUCGGCUUGAGGCUCGGCCUCUACGGCUGCCCAUACAAGUCCGACAUACUCUAUUUCGACGGUGACGAUGCCAUCUCAUACCGCUUCCCACGAGGGGUCAGCCGAAGCCUGUGGGACGUGUUCGCCUUCAGCUUCAAGACCGAGGAGAAGGACGGGCUUCUGCUGCACGCCGAGGGCGCCCAGGGCGACUACGUGACGAUCGAGCUGGAGGGGGCACACCUGCUGCUGCACAUGAGCCUGGGCAGCAGUCCCAUCCAGCCAAGACCAGGUCACACCACCGUGAGCGCUGGCGGAGUCCUCAAUGACCAGCACUGGCACUACGUGCGGGUGGACCGAUUUGGCCGCGACGUAAAUUUCACCCUGGACGGCUAUGUGCAGCGCUUUAUUCUCAAUGGAGACUUCGAGAGGCUGAACCUGGACACUGAGAUGUUCAUCGGAGGACUGGUGGGCGCCGCGCGGAAGAAUCUAGCCUAUCGGCAUAACUUCCGCGGCUGCAUAGAAAACGUAAUCUUCAAUCGCGUCAACAUCGCAGACCUGGCUGUGCGGCGCCAUUCCCGGAUCACCUUCGAGGGUAAGGUGGCGUUUCGUUGCCUGGACCCGGUACCGCACCCUAUCAACUUCGGAGGCCCUCACAACUUCGUUCAAGUGCCCGGUUUCCCACGCCGCGGCCGUCUGGCAGUCUCAUUUCGCUUCCGCACCUGGGACCUCACCGGGCUUCUCCUUUUCUCUCGUCUGGGGGACGGGCUGGGCCACGUGGAGCUGACACUCAGCGAAGGGCAGGUCAACGUGUCCAUCGCGCAGAGCGGCCGAAAGAAGCUUCAGUUCGCUGCUGGGUACCGACUGAACGAUGGCUUUUGGCACGAGGUGAAUUUUGUGGCACAGGAAAACCAUGCAGUCAUCAGCAUUGAUGAUGUGGAGGGGGCAGAGGUCAGGGUGUCAUACCCACUGCUGAUCCGGACAGGGACCUCAUAUUUCUUUGGGGGUUGUCCCAAGCCAGCCAGUCGAUGGGACUGCCACUCCAACCAGACGGCAUUCCAUGGCUGCAUGGAGCUGCUCAAGGUGGAUGGUCAGCUGGUCAACCUGACUCUGGUGGAGUUCCGGCGGCUUGGAUUCUAUGCUGAGGUCCUUUUUGAUACAUGUGGCAUCACUGAUAGGUGCAGCCCUAACAUGUGUGAGCAUGAUGGACGCUGCUACCAGUCUUGGGAUGACUUCAUCUGCUACUGCGAACUCACGGGCUAUAAGGGAGAGACCUGCCACACACCUUUGUAUAAGGAAUCCUGUGAGGCUUAUCGGCUCAGUGGGAAAACUUCUGGAAACUUCACUAUUGAUCCUGAUGGCAGUGGCCCCCUGAAGCCAUUUGUAGUGUACUGUGAUAUCCGAGAGAACCGAGCGUGGACAGUUGUGCGACAUGACAGACUGUGGACAACUCGAGUGACAGGUUCCAGCAUGGAGCGGCCAUUCCUGGGGGCUAUCCAGUACUGGAAUGCAUCCUGGGAGGAAGUCAGUGCCCUUGCCAAUGCUUCCCAGCAUUGUGAACAGUGGAUCGAGUUCUCCUGCUACAAUUCCCGGCUGCUCAACACUGCAGGAGGCUACCCCUACAGCUUUUGGAUUGGCCGAAAUGAGGAGCAGCACUUCUACUGGGGAGGCUCCCAGCCUGGGAUCCAGCGCUGUGCCUGUGGUCUGGACCGGAGCUGUGUGGACCCUGCCUUGUACUGCAACUGUGAUGCCGACCAGCCCCAGUGGAGAACUGACAAGGGACUGCUGACCUUUGUGGACCAUCUGCCUGUCACUCAGGUGGUGAUAGGGGAUACGAACCGCUCCACUUCCGAGGCCCAGUUCUUCCUGAGGCCUUUGCGCUGUUAUGGCGAUCGAAAUUCCUGGAACACCAUUUCCUUCCACACUGGGGCUGCACUACGCUUCCCCCCAAUCCGUGCCAACCACAGCCUGGAUGUCUCCUUCUACUUCAGGACCUCUGCUCCCUCGGGAGUCUUCCUAGAGAAUAUGGGGGGCCCUUACUGCCAGUGGCGCCGACCUUAUGUGCGGGUGGAACUCAACACAUCCCGGGAUGUGGUCUUCGCCUUUGAUGUGGGGAAUGGGGAUGAGAAUCUCACAGUACACUCAGACGACUUUGAGUUCAACGAUGACGAGUGGCACCUGGUCCGGGCUGAAAUCAACGUGAAGCAGGCCCGGCUCCGAGUGGAUCACCGGCCCUGGGUUCUGCGGCCUAUGCCACUGCAGACCUACAUCUGGAUGGAGUAUGACCAGCCCCUCUAUGUGGGAUCUGCAGAGCUUAAGAGACGCCCCUUUGUGGGUUGCUUGAGGGCCAUGCGUCUGAAUGGAGUGACUCUGAACCUGGAGGGCCGUGCCAAUGCCUCUGAGGGAACCUCACCCAACUGUACAGGCCACUGUGCCCACCCCCGGCUCCCCUGUUUCCAUGGAGGCCGCUGCGUGGAGCGCUAUAGCUACUACACAUGUGACUGUGACCUCACGGCUUUUGAUGGGCCAUACUGCAACCACGAUAUUGGUGGUUUCUUUGAGCCGGGCACCUGGAUGCGCUACAACCUACAGUCAGCGCUGCGCUCUGCAGCCAGGGAGUUCUCCCACAUGCUGAGCCGGCCGGUGCCAGGCUAUGAGCCUGGCUACAUCCCGGGCUAUGAUACUCCGGGCUAUGUGCCUGGCUACCAUGGCCCCGGGUACCGCCUGCCUGACUACCCCCGGCCUGGUCGGCCUGUGCCCGGUUACCGUGGGCCUGUCUACAAUGUUACGGGAGAGGAAGUCUCCUUCAGCUUCAGCACCAGCUCUGCCCCCGCUGUCCUGCUCUACGUCAGUUCCUUUGUUCGUGACUACAUGGCUGUGCUCAUCAAGGAUGAUGGGACCCUUCAGCUACGCUAUCAGCUGGGCACCAGCCCCUACGUGUACCAGCUAACCACCCGCCCAGUGACCGACGGCCAGCCCCACAGUGUCAACAUCACCCGUGUUUACCGGAACCUCUUCAUCCAGGUGGACUACUUCCCACUGACAGAGCAGAAGUUCUCGCUGUUGGUGGACAGCCAGUUGGACUCACCCAAGGCCUUGUAUCUAGGGCGUGUGAUGGGUAAGCUGCAGAGACAGGAGUCAUUGACCCGGAGAUCCAGCGCUACAACACCCCAGGUUUCUCGGGCUGCCUGUCUGGUGUUCGAUUCAACAAUGUGGCUCCCCUCAAGACCCACUUCCGAACCCCUCGACCCAUGACUGCUGAGCUAGCUGAAGCCCUUCGAGUUCAGGGAGAACUGUCCGAAUCUAAUUGCGGAGCUAUGCCACGUCUUGUUUCAGAGGUGCCACCUGAACUUGAUCCCUGGUAUCUGCCCCCAGACUUCCCGUACUACCAUGAUGAAGGAUGGGUUGCCAUACUUUUAGGCUUUUUGGUGGCCUUUCUGCUGCUGGGGCUGGUGGGAAUGUUGGUGCUCUUCUAUCUGCAAAAUCAUCGCUACAAGGGCUCCUACCAUACCAACGAGCCCAAAGCUGCCCACGAGUACCAUCCUGGCAGCAAACCUCCCCUACCCACUUCAGGCCCUGCCCAGGCGCCCACCCCUACACCAGCUCCCACCCAAGCUCCAGCCUCAGCCCCAGCCCCAGCCCCAGCCCCAGCCCCUGGCCCUCGGGAUCAGAACCUACCCCAGAUCCUGGAGGAGUCCAGGUCUGAAUAAGUCAGAAGGGCUUCUGGGACCAAUUACAACUCCUCUGAAAUUCCCCGAGUCCUGCCUCUCCCCCACCCGAUCAGGGACAUUUGGCUUCUCUUAGCUGGCUCUGCUCAUCCAGAGGAUACCCCCAUGCCCCCGCCAAGUUUGGUGGGCAGAGCUAUAGAUGGGACCCAAGGGAGUGGCCGAGCCUCACUGCCUAAACCAAUGCCCUGCUCAUCCCUGUUUCCCCAGGCUCCUGGCUGUUUGCCCCAAAGAAGUCUCGUGGGGUUGACAUAGGUCUUUCCUGCCAUCUCUGUCCCAGCUGCUGUCAGGGAUUAACAACAGUGUAGGGGAGAUUAACUGUCUCCCUUCCAAUAGACACUAUCAGCAGGGACAGAUGUGUGGGAGUGCAGGGCUGCAGAGGGUAUGGGGGGAGGAGGCUGCUAAACCCUAUCCCCCAGCCUCCCCCCUGCCCUGAAGAAGAUCUUCCAUCUGCUUCCACUCAGCUGGGGGCUCGAGAGGGCUUGAUGGCUGUCCCCUGCCCCCCUCCUUUGGUUUUUACACAGAGACCAAGAGGCCUCAGUUUAGCACCUUAGUACCUCCGCUGCUUCACUUGCUUUAGCCAAAGCCAUAAAAAACCUGCAAUGUAGAGAAAAUAAUGCAGAUACCCUGAUUAGCCAGCCCUCUACUCCUCCAUCCUUUUCCAAGAUAUGCAACGGCCUUGGUGCCUGUCCAAAGGCUUCGCCCCCUCCAGUGCAUGAGGAGCCCUCUUUCCUCCGCUCAGAGAUGCUGCUUCAUUUACCCAGGAGGUCAUAUUCUUUAUAUGUAUUUUUUGUUGCAAAGUCUCUCUCUAGAGAAACUCUAUAUAUUAUUCGAAUUUUUAAAGUAUUUGUUUAUAUAUAAAAGAAAAGCUCAAUUGGCCGUGCUGUCCUGUGCUGUGCUGUGCCCACAGUCCGUAGUUUGCCUCUCCUGUGUUGGAAGUCUCAUGAGUCCUGCUGGUCACUCACCAGCCUGGUCCGGCCUCCACUCUGAAGCAGGGUUGAGCCUGCUGUGCUCUCAGACACGGAGCCGUUCCAAUAAAGCAGAGUGGCAGAGCCCCA